rnacentral:lncRNA from 1 species
GGAGUGCGCUACAGUUUCUUAUCUGGUUUUUUUUCUGCUUUUCCUCCUUGGAUGAUAAUGAAAGUGAAGCAGUUUGCCUGUCCAGCCUUAGAUCUCCGCAGUCUUGGUGCCUUCCUGCCAUUCAGUCUCCUGCUGAGGCUGAGUGCUGUGGGGCUAUUCCUGGUGAUGAAGAGGAUGCUGCCCUGUUGUCCUCCUCCUUAGCUCAUCACCCCUUGCUGAGCAGACCACUUGUGAUGAUCCAGGUAGGAAAAAUCUGUCUGAGAUUUCAUUUCUUUCACCUCUGUAUUUUUGAGUGCUUCGUUUGGUUUGUGGU